UGNNAGUCGAGCGGAUGAGAAGAGCUUGCUCUUCGAUUCAGCGGCGGACGGGUGAGUAAUGCCUAGGAAUCUGCCUGGUAGUGGGGGACAACGUUUCGAAAGGAACGCUAAUACCGCAUACGUCCUACGGGAGAAAGCAGGGGACCUUCGGGCCUUGCGCUAUCAGAUGAGCCUAGGUCGGAUUAGCUAGUUGGUGAGGUAAUGGCUCACCAAGGCGACGAUCCGUAACUGGUCUGAGAGGAUGAUCAGUCACACUGGAACUGAGACACGGUCCAGACUCCUACGGGAGGCAGCAGUGGGGAAUAUUGGACAAUGGGCGAAAGCCUGAUCCAGCCAUGCCGCGUGUGUGAAGAAGGUCUUCGGAUUGUAAAGCACUUUAAGUUGGGAGGAAGGGCAUUAACCUAAUACGUUAGUGUUUUGACGUUACCGACAGAAUAAGCACCGGCUAACUCUGUGCCAGCAGCCGCGGUAAUACAGAGGGUGCAAGCGUUAAUCGGAAUUACUGGGCGUAAAGCGCGCGUAGGUGGUUUGUUAAGUUGGAUGUGAAAGCCCCGGGCUCAACCUGGGAACUGCAUUCAAAACUGGCAAGCUAGAGUACGGUAGAGGGUGGUGGAAUUUCCUGUGUAGCGGUGAAAUGCGUAGAUAUAGGAAGGAACACCAGUGGCGAAGGCGACCACCUGGACUGAUACUGACACUGAGGUGCGAAAGCGUGGGGAGCAAACAGGAUUAGAUACCCUGGUAGUCCACGCCGUAAACGAUGUCAACUAGCCGUUGGAGUCCUUGAGAUUUUAGUGGCGCAGCUAACGCAUUAAGUUGACCGCCUGGGGAGUACNGCCGCA
rnacentral:rRNA from 1 species